rnacentral:lncRNA from 1 species
UUCAUAACCUCAACCAUCGGCACCAUGUACCCUUGUCAUUUCAUCAGACUGAAACACCACCACUAGAUCGCAAUCCUGCCACCAUCGACCAUCAUCACCAUCGACCUCCACAGUCCCCCCACCAUCGACCUUCAUAAAAGACGUCGGUUCCCACACCAAAACCCCUAAUUCUUCAUCCACAUCCAGAACCUUAACCUUAAUUCCCCUGUGAUCAUUUCACAAACAAAUAUUAAAGGAAACAUAUUUGGGGGUUUAGUUCCACAAGUGAUGGUGGUGCUUUAUCUCAGUGAUUAGUUAUAUAUUGAAGUUUCCGGUGGUGGUGCUUCGUCUCACUAUUAAAUUUGAAGUUUCCGGCGCCGAUGGUGAUUGUUUUGUUGGAAUUUAUCCAUGUGAUUAGUUGUACAUAACCUACACUACAGUGAUGGGUAUUAAAGAUUUGAUUUUUACAGUGGUGGGGGUGAAGCUUCUGAAAGAAGUGACGGAGUGUAGUGAUGUUAAGUUUGGUGAUGUUACAUUUACUUAGCUUAAUUAAUAUUGGUAUGUGAUUCACGUCCUUGUAGUUCUUUUUUUCCAGGUUUUGAGUUUUUGGUUAGUUAUUAGAUAAUUUUUAUUCUUUUAAGUUGAAUGUUUGUUAGAUAAUUGAAUUCUUGUAAAAAGCUUCAUGUUUGUCGACUAAGGAAUGCAUAUUUUGAUUUUAUCAUUUUCAGCUUGUUACUUUUAAUUGAACAAGUGGAUGGUGGUGAUGGCAAAGAACGAUACAUGGUUGUCCGAUGAAGUUUAG